ACUCAAAUGAAUUGACGGAAGUUUGUACAAGCGGUGGAGCAUCUGGUUUAAUUCGAAACAACGCGCAAAACCUUACCAGUUUUUGUAUAUUUGUUAUUUUAAAGGAAAAAAUUAAAAUAUUUUUGUAUGGAAAUAAUAGUUUCUUAAAAAUUACAUAUACAGGUGCUGCAUGGCUGUCGUAAGCCCGUGUAGUGAUACGUUUGGUUAAUUCCGUUAACGGGCGCAAUCCUUACUUCUAUUUGUGAAAUUUUGAUUAUAUUUUAAAAUUUUUUUUAGAAGAACUGCCUUUUAACUAUAGAGAGGAAGGUGAGGACUAUGUCAAGCCUAGAUGGCCCAUAUGGACUGGGCUACACAGGUGCUACAAUGAUAAUUACAAAAGGAAGCAAUAAUGUGAGUUGGAGCAAAUCCUGAAAAAUUAUCUAAGUUCAGAUUGUUCUCUGCAACUCGAGAGCAUGAAGGAGGAAUCGCUAGUAAUCGUAAAACAGCACGUUACGGUGAAAUUGAAUCCAAACUUAGUACACACCGCCCGU
rnacentral:rRNA from 1 species